AAGAUAAUAGGGGUAGAAAGUUUAUUCAAAGGGAUAAUAACAGAGGACUUCCCAAACCUAGACAAAGAUAUCAAUAUGCAAGUACAGGAAGGUAAUAGAACACCAAGCAGAUUUAACCCAAAGAAGAUAAUAAUCAAACUCCCAAAGGCCAAGGGUAGAGAAAGGACCCUAAAACAGCAAGAGGAAAGAAAUGACUAACAUACAAUGGAGCCCCAAUACAUCUGGCAGCAGAUUUUCACUGGAAACCUUACAGGCCAGGAGACAGUGGCAUAACAAUUUAAAGUGCUAAAGAAAAAAGCUUUUACCCUAUAAUACUAUAAUAGUAUAUGUGGUGAAAAUAUCGUUCAAGCAUAAAGGAGAAAGAAAGACAUUCCUGGACAAACAAAAAUUGAGGGAGUUCAUCAAUACCAGACCUGCUGUACAAGAAAUGCUAAAGGGAGUACUUUAGUAAGAAAGAAAAGGACAUGAAUGAGCAAUACAUAGUACCUGAAGGUACAAACCUUACUGGUAAUAGCAAGUACACAGAAAAACACAGAAUAUUAUAACAUUGUAACUGUGGUGUGUAAACUACUCUUAUGCUAAGUAGAAAGAGUAAAUGAUGAAUGAAUCACAAAAAGUAACUAAAACAACUUUUCAAGACAUAGUCAGUACAAUAAGCUAUAAACAGGAACAAUAAAAAGUUAAAAAGUUGGGGAACAAAGUUAAAGUGUAGAGUUUUUAUUAAUUUUCUUUGUGCUUGUUUGUUUGCUUAUGCAAAUAGUGUUAAGUUGUUAUCAGGUUAAAAUAAUGGGUUAUAAGAUAGUAUUUGCAAGCCUCAUGGUAACCUCAAGCCAAAGAACACAAUGGAUGCACAAAAAAUAAAAAGCAAGAAACUAAGUCAUAUCUCCAGAGCAGAGUAUCUUCACUAGAAAAAGACAAGAAGGAAAGAAAGAAGGGAAAGAAGUUCAUGAAACAACCAGAAAACAAAUAACAAAAUGACAGAAGUCCUUACCCAUCAAUAACAACACACAAUGUAAAUAUCCUAAACUGACCAAUCAAAAGACAUAGACUGGCUGAAUGGAUGAAAAAUCAAGAUCCAUUGAUCUGUUGCCUACAGAAGAAACACUUCACCUAUGAAGACAAACAUAGACUGAAAAUAAAGGGAUGGAAAAAGAUAUUUCUUGCCAAUGGAAACCAAAAAGAGCAGGAGUUUUAUCUCAGAUAAAAUAGAUUUCAAAGAAGGUCACUAUAUAAUGGUAAAGGGCUCAAUUCAGCAAGAGGAUAGAAGAAUAAUUUUAAAUAUGUAAUAUAUGCACCCAACACAGAAGCACCCAGAUAUAUAAAGGGAAUAUUAUUAGAGCUAAAGAGAGAGAUAGGUCCCAAUACAAUAAUAGUUGGAGACUCCAAUACUCCACUUUCAGCAUUGGACAGAACUUCCAGACAGAAGAAUCAACAGGGAAACAUCAGAAUUAAUCUGCACUGUAGGCCAAAUGAAUCCAAUAGAUAUUUACAGAACAUCUCUUCCAAUGGCUGCAGAACACACAUUCUUUUCCUCAGCACAUGGAUCAUUCUCAAAGAUAGACCCCAUGUUAGAUCACAAAACAAGUCUUAAAUCACUGAAAAAAUUGAAAUAAUAUCAAGCAUCUUCUCUGAUCAUAAUAGAAUGAAACUGGAAAUAAGAAGAAGAAUUUUGGAAACUACACAAAUAUGUAGAAAUUUUAAAAUAUGCUCCUGAGAGACCAGUGGGUCAAUGAAGAAAUUAAGAAGAAAAUGGAAAAAUGUCUAAAAACAAAUGAUAAUGGAAACCCCAUAUAUGAAAACCUAUGUGAUAUAACAAAAGCAGAACUAAGAGGGAAAUUUAUAGCUAUGAGUGCCUACAUCAAAAAAAAAAAAAAAAAAAAGAAAAAAA
ensembl:lncRNA